rnacentral:lncRNA from 1 species
CUCAAAGGCAUUGAAAUUCUAGUUUGAUCCAAAUUUUGGGGGAUAUGUGACAUGUUCACCCCCCUUUUUGCAAUAUUUUAUGGUAAAUAAAUGCAGAAUGUUGCCAUGGAUACACAUAAAAGGAAUUAAUUUUCACCCUUUUAACUUUUGAAAAUCAAAUCUAUGGAAGAUACUGAUUACAUACAUAUGCACAUGUACAAC